GACGAACGCUGGCGGCGCGCUUAACACAUGCAAGUCGAGCGAAGCGGCGGAUGGGUGAGUAACACGUGAGUAACCUGCCAUAGACAUUGGGAUAGCCUCGGGCAACCGGGAUUAAUACCAAAUGGUCUAAGAUGGACUCGCCUCCCAUUAGAUAGUUGGUGAGGUAACGGGCCACCAAGGCGACGAUGGGUAGCCGGCCUGAGAGGGUGAACGGCCACCUUGGAGCUGAGAAACGGUCCAAACUCUACGGGAGGGAGCAGUGGGGAAUAGUGCACAGUGGAGGGAGCUCUGAUGUAGCGAGGCUGCGUGAACUAAGAAGGCUUUCGAGUCGUAAAGUUCUUGUAUAUGAGAAGCGGUACCAUAAGAAAAAGCCCCGGCUAACUACGUGCCAGCAGCCGCGGUAAUAC
rnacentral:rRNA from 1 species